rnacentral:SRP_RNA from 1 species
CGCGCGGGUAGGGCGGGGAGGGUCGCCGCCUCCCACGGGCCGGAGAGCCCGUCCCGAAGGCGCCAGGCGGGCGCCAGUAACCCCGGCCCGCCGGGCAAACGGGCCCCACGAGGGUCUCCAGCAACGCCGAUGAACCCCGUCCCGCGGGGCCUGCGGUGCCUGGAGCCUCCGCCGGAGGGCGGGGUGCUACCGGCUUAACCGGGGAAACCUGGCCAGGCCCGGAAGGGAGCAACCUAUCCCCGGCCGUAGGCGUUCGCGGGGGCGCGGGGGGAGGCGUCUGGAGGGUGCCCCGUGGGGCCCGCCCCGGCGGUGACCGGGGGGCCGCGCG